rnacentral:lncRNA from 1 species
AGAUUGUCUAAAGAGGGGUCAAGCUGAUAGUACAACUUUAAAAUGCAGGUAAUAAUAUUUGAUUUGAAGUUAUGCAGUAUUUAAGGAUCUUUGUCAAUUUUACAUAUAUAAUUUUAUUACAAAGAACUUUGCUUAAGAAAUGUAACUAGGUAAUGAAUUUAAUCACAAUGAAAAGCAAAACACAAACUUGAAGUUAAAUUAUAAGUCCUUGAAAGUUCAUUGCCAUGGAAAAACAGACUACAUGUUUAAGGUCAUACGGUAAUCAUUUAACUUCAAAUCAGGUUAAUAAUGCAGGCUAAAAUUGCUUUAAAAAAACAGCAGAGGUUACCUGCUUAAGGCACUUGUAGUUCUCUAACCCCCCUUUUUUUUAUGAAUCCCUGUAUAUAAUAUUUUUUGUGGGCCAUAAUUUUCAUCACACAAGUAAAUGAAUUCUUUUCUGUUUUAACAUUAGUGACAAGAUCCUAUUUUUAACCUUUCAGAUAAAAAUAUCCUCAACUUUUCUUUCCAUUAAUAAUAUAAAUAGAUAUAAGAGUAUUAGUUAAUCUUAAAGAGUUGUCAAUAGCAUGGUAUUAAACUGACAAAUUUUAUAGAAAUAUAGGUGGAUUUGAUAUGAAAUAAAAGGUUAUCAUGAACUAGUCACAUGUUAACUGUGUUAGUCCGGAAGUCUGCAGCACUGAGAUACUUUUGUGAUCAAUGACUUUCUAGUACCUUGUGUACAUGUAAUCUAUUCGUACUUGAAUUGUUUAUUGGGAAAAUGGUAUUAAGUUGUAGAAGUCGGAUUUCAUGUUAAAUGAUAUUGACAUUUUAUUUUGUUUUGAUAUUAAAGCUAUAUUUAUUUUGGGUACAUAGAAAUACAAGGCAGAUAUAGGCAAAAGUCUAUUAUUAGGUAGAAUAAUUGUUUUCUGUUAUAAGAAGAGGGAAGUAAAGGCUCUUCCUGGAUUGUAAGUCCACCAUCAACAUUAGACUUAGUAUACCUUAGUUUUAUUGAAUUAUAUCAAGUUGAUGUUUACUACAAUUUUUGUUAAUGCAUUAUAUAGAAAUUAAAUAUUCCAGUAAAAAAAAGGAUUGAACAGGGACCAAGAAUAAUUUUCUUCAUGAAGCUUUUUGGAAGAACUGUUCGCGGGUUUGCAGAUUGCAAAUUCGGGAAAUAAUGGCAAUCUAAGUGAAUUCAGAUGUUAUGUUUCUGCUUUUAUAUAAAGGAACUGUCUUGUUCCCCCUCUUAACCCUCCCUUUUCAAACACCAUCCUCCCAAAAAAGAAAAAUUAUGCCAGUUAUAAUGGUUAGGAGAAAUUUAAACCAGAAAUGCUUUGUCCUCGGUUUUGUCACGUUUCCUUUCCAGAAAUCGUAUUUUGUUCAUAGAUAUCAUGCUUAUAUAUUGCAGUUCAAAUUUGAUCUUCCUCAAGAGGUGAAAACAUCUUUUAUUUUCAGUUUUUGCAUAAUACAAGCUCGUCAAUUAAACCGAUCAUAAUUAGAUCUUCAUAUGUAACACUGCACCAGUUUUAUCCCUAUUUUAGUGUCUGACCUCUUGGUGCAUUGCCGAACAAUUAAGAGAAACUUUAUAUACCCUAUAAAUUGCAUGUCACUAAUGUAAUGUGUUUCGGUUCUAUAACCCCUGAACAUUAUGUCAAAUUUUACGUGACAUUAUCAAGUCUAUCAGGAAAUUAGUAGAGAAGUGGAGGUCUCAUAUAGGUCGUUCUUUAGGAUGGCAAAUUAUUUUUGUAGAGAGAAAACUUACCUUUAAAGCAAAUUAGACUAUAAAUAAUGAUAAAAUAACUGAAGGCCUUUGUCCCUAGUAUAAUAACAGUAGAUGGUUGUUGUCAAGCGAAUUUUACUUAAUAACGCAUCAAUUAAGAUAAAAGAUUAUUGGUCUGAAAUAGUAACUUUUCAUGUUGUGAUACUUAGGAAGUGAAGUAGAAAGGUUAUCUGCUAAUGAAAUACACAUGAAGUUUGUUAAGUGUCAGCUGUGUAAAGGUUAAGGGUAGGCUGGUGAAGUCAGGGUCCACCCUUAUAUCAAAAUUCAUGAUUUUUACUUUCCACGGCUCCCAGCCGUCUGAGUCUGCACUGUUCAAUAUUACAGCAUGCACAUUAACAUCAUUUUUAAGGGUUACUCAAGGUAGGAAUUAUUGAUAAAUAACAAUGUGAUACAUAUUGACAUUAAAAAAGAUCAGACUUCUCUAAAUGAAUGAGUCAGUUGCCAUCUUUUCACAAUAGCAGGGCAUAAAUUGCUGCAAAGCAAAAUUGAAUUGUCUGAUUUGUAUUGAGGCCAUGGAUCUUGUGUGCAUAUAUAUUUUCAAAGUUGGAGAGAAAAUUUUGUCCGUAUAUGUCAUGGGCUCUAUUAUAUGACUUGAUAUUACUUGGAUGGAAAAUAUUUAAGGAGGAGGGUUCAGAUCAUUAGUUUAAGAACAGGUCAAACUAGAAGACCUUUUGUCUCUAUUAACACUGGUCUGUCCCCUGAUUUACAUGGAAGACUGCAUGAGGAUUUUAGUGAAAUCAGUAAAGUUGCAAUAGUUAUAAAAACAUUAAUUGAAAAUUGGCUUUCCCAUGACUAAAAAAAAUAUGCGGUUCAAACCUAUAUUCAUAAUGAUAGUAUGUAAUGGUUGACUCUUUUUUACUGUCUUCAAUACAAAUUUAAAAAAUAAAAAAAUAACUUUUUGCUUUAUUUUGUACGAUUAUUCGAGGUCAUGUCCUUGACUUGCUACUUCACAUUUACGGACCAUUUCCUGGAAUACAUUUUCUUUGAUAUUAAAUGUUUACCUGGUUAAUGCAGGUUUUGAUAUGCUUUAACAUGAUUAAAGUUUUUUUCUGAUUUAAAAACUGAUAUGAAAUGUCUAUUGUUUUAUCUUCUGGUUUAUCAAUUGUUUACAGACAUUUUAAUAUGAUUGUACUUAGUAGAUGGUCAGAUAUUCUUAUACAUAGACGGUUGAUAUCUGAUAGUGGUAGUAAAAAUGAUAAGUUGUUAUAAUUCUACCUUACAUCUUGUAGUUGGGUUAGCUUCAAAGGGUUUUAUUUGGUAUAGAACUUUUAAAAAAAGGCUUCCUGCCAAACACAAAGUAUGAGUUCUACUAGUUUUGACAUUUUAAUUAAUUGCUGUAACAUUGCAAUUUAAAAUGGUGGUAUUACUGCCAACACCAUCAAUGUCCUGAACUGAGGCCAACGGUCAUCAUGUGUUUCGACCUCUAGCUCUGUACCCUCUCAGGAUCCGUGUACAUUCAAAUUUGACCAAUGAAUAAUUAAAAUUUCAUUUUUGGGGGAAAAUUUAAGUUUCAAAUAGAAAUGAAUAGACAUUUGUCACAUACAUUACAAGUAACUUGAUUUGGGAUAAGUAAAGCAGACUUAUUUUAAUACAAGAUUUUUACUUUGAUAGAUAUUUUCACAUAAUGUCAAAUUUCUUACAACAAACAGACAACUGUCAUGUGUGUAUAGAAGUGGAAAGGAUUAACAAUAAUUUGAUAUGACAAAUUCAUGUACUCUUCAUUUUACAUGUAUGUUUUUCUUUCCUCAACUCCAUGUUAAAUGUUGGUGAAAAGAGAAAAUGUCAGCUGCCAAUUUAAUUUAAUUUUGACAAUUUAGAAUUGAUGUGGUAUUUAAAUGUUGAUAUAAACAGUGAAGUUUAUCAUCUUUAUGAUAACCUUAACAGCACGACUAGGUGUGCAGAUUGUGUACAAGGGCUGUGUUAUGCUUAAUGAUGCAUUCUGCUGGUACAUAAGUGACCCCCAUACCUGUUGACCUACAUGCAGGUGUUCACAUUAAGGCUCUCCAAAGGGAAAAUUUAUAGCUUUUUUUCUUGAGUGUGCCAAUAACCUCAUAACUGAGAUUGAACUUUUCUGUUUUAUGAUAAUUCAACAGUAAAUAAUUGCAUAAUAUUUUAUAAAAUGAUUCAAUGAGUCAGAAAGGAUCAUUCAACCCAUUUGAUGUAGAUAUUCUAUUUUUAAAGGAGUUUUACAAGAAAAGAAUUAAAGUACUUUACCUGUCUUUUAUUGAGAAAUUGAGUAAGAAGGAUGUUGAUCACAACAUGGGAGUUUUAGACUAUGAUACAUGUAUAGAAAUGCUUUUAUUUACAUAAUUGACUUACUACAUCAGCUCCAUGUAAAAUAGCCUUAAUAGGUUCCAAUUAUGACCUACAUUUAUAAGAUGCCCCAGAAAAGAAUUAAAUGCAUACUAUUCCUGAAUUAGUUGUAUAAAAAUGUUUAAUAUAAUGAUUGGACAAGAAAACCAAAUGCAAAAUUUUUCUCAGUUUAUAUAAGCUGAUGAAAUUUUAGAUAAAUUCUCUGUCUGGCUCCACUGUUGCCCACCCUAAAAUGCAGUAGGUAGGGUUUUAUUAGUUAUUAGUUAUCAAAGGUACCAGGAUUAUAAUUUAGUACGCCAGACGCAUGUUUCGUCUACAUAAAACUCAUCAGUGACGCUCAAAUCAAAAUAUUUUAAAGCCAAACAAGUACAAAGUUGAAGAGCAUUGAGGAUCCAAAAUUCCAAAAAGUUGUGCCAAAUAUGGCUAAAGUAAUCUAUGCCUGGGAUAAGAAAAUCCUUAGUUUUUCAAAAAGUUAAAAGUUUUGUAUACAGGAAAUUUAUAAAAAUGACCACAUUAUUGAUACUCAUGUCAACACCGAAGUGUUGACUACUGGGCUGGUGAUACCCUUGGGGACAAAACGUCCACCAGCAUUGAAAAAUUGCAGACAGGUUUUUUUUAAUGAAUAAAAUUGAGAAUAGAAAUGGGGAAUGUGCCAAAGAGACAACAACCCGACCAUAGAAAAAAACAACAGCAGAAGGUCACCAACAGGUCUUCAAUAAAGCGAGAAAUCCCGCACCCGGAGGCGUCCUUCAACUGGCCCCUAAACAAAUAUAUACUAGUUCAGUGAUAUAAUGAACGCCAUACUAAUUUCCAAAUUGUACACAAGAAACUAAAAUUAAAAUAAAACAAGACUAACAAAGGCCAGAGGCUCCUGACUUGGGACAGGCGCAAAAAUGCGGCGGGGUUAAACAUGUUUGUGAGAUCUCAACCCUCCCCCUAUACCUCUAGCCAAUGUAGAAAAUUUGAAAAACAUAUGCUAUAACUUUUUAUAUGUAGUCUGUAACCUAUGUAUCAAUUUAAAUAUGAAAUACUGGUACAUAAAUGUCAUGUCCUAAGUACCUACAUGGUAAAAAAAAAUUAAAAUCUAUUUUAAAAAAAGUAAAAAAUCCUGAUACAAUCCCCUAUUGUAUUGUAAAAAUCAUAAAUAAUUUUGACGGCAAACAUAUCAAGAACAAGGUUAAUAUUUUAUUACCCUUAGAGCAUAUGAUAUCGCUCUAUCUUGGCAGAUACAUUACAAUUAAAGUUAAUUUCAUGCUCAAAUAUAUCUUUGAGUGUUGUAAAUAUUUAAAAGUAAAUAGGAUCAUCAAAGAUUCUAGAGGGGAUAAUAAAAUCAUAUUUUCUGUAUAGAUGGGCUGUAAUCUUCUCUCUUUACAACUUUUGUAUUGUUAUAUUACUAUCACAAGGACAUGCCAUUAAAAAUAUCUAGACACAUUUGAAUAAAGGUGCAAAAGACUUAAGUAUUGAAACAUGGCAUAAAAUCACCAGGGCCAAGUAUUUUCAGUGUUGUUUUCAAGUCUGUAUUUCUUGUGAUUGCAGUCAAUAAAUUCAACAUCAAUUUUUUUUUUCAUUAGAAGUGUAAAUGUAUUUCAUUUAGCAAUAUUCAAUUGAAGGCAGUUCAGUGUAUUGCCUCCCAUUUGUCCUUCACACCAUAUUUUAAUAAUGGCUAAAAUUUAAUUUUACAAUUUAACAUAUGUAUAAAUAGAAGUCAUUUACUGCUUUUAUUUCUGAGUGAUUGGUUCAGAUGAGCAUAUGUAGUUUGGGGCACUUGCUCAUUGAAGUUGUAACAUUUUAUUUGUUGGUAGUGAUCUUUGAUAAAAGUGAGGGGUCUUUACAAUGACCUAUAUCUAAUACAAAGCCAACAUAGUUUUCAAUAAGAUAAGAUAAGAUCUACAAUGAGUACGAAUGUCAAGGAGGAUCACAUUGACCUAAAAUAAAGUCUUAUCACAUAAGAAAAAUUGUCUUACAACAUUAUAAUAUAGAUUCAUCAUUAGUUAACAUAUUUCCUGGUCAUUUCAAGUGCUUAGAUUUUCUUUAAAAUGCCAUUUAUAUUCUUGUAGAUAUGUGGUAUAAAGUGUUGAAACAGCUUCCCACUGGCUUUUUCAAAAUACAGUUAUAAUAAAAUGGUAUAUUACAGCCUAUUUACAGGUCAGUAUCAAGGAAAUGUAACACCAUUUACAGUAUGUGCCAAACUGUUUUACAGUUUGCCUGACCGAAAAAGAAAUUUAAUGUUUUUCUACUAUAUUUUCAAUUGAAAAUUUUAUCUGAAUUAUUUUUUGUCUGAAAUUUUGUUGGUCAGCUCUGAGAGUUUGAGAUACACUACAUUUAUUGGAAAAAGAUACCUACAUUUUGACUCUGUCUUAUUGUUUUCUACAUGUACUUCCUAUGAUAGUAGAGUGGCAUUAUGCUGUCUGUUCCUUAAAAGUUUGGUUUACAGUAAAUCUCAGUUGGUUAAGGAAGUUUGUUGUCUGUUUCUGAUGGCAAUCUGAUUAUUUAUUUUAGGGUUAUAAAGAGGUUUGGUGCACUUUAUGUCAUUUCUGUACAAUAACUAAUAACCCUAAACCCAAUGGGUUUCAAUAUUUUUAAUAAAUUGUUCUUCAAAACAAAAUGUAGGUAUCACCUUAUAUUGACAAUUUUCUCUUCUACUGUUCUGAAAUUGUCCUCAUUUCUUUAUUUCUGUUAUUUCCAAGUGCAUUUUUAAAAUCGGUACCUCUGCUACAGUAAACUUGCAUGUAUUUUUUAUCUCCCCUUUAAAAAUUGUCCUGACUAACUAAGACAUACUGUAUCUAAUAAGUUGUUUCUGUAUAGAUAGGCUACAGUUUCUUUUAGGACUUGACUGGCUGAGAAUUUGUUGACCUUUUUUUUUUAUUAUAUAUAUGGGUAGGAAAUCUAAAAUUUUAAACUUUUCUACACUUUGAUGUCUUACUUAAUUUCCAUAUUUAACUGGAUUGUUUGAUUAUUAGUGGUAUAUGUUAACCCAUCUUUUACAUUUAUAGGAUCAAUGUGUCCUUUAGAAGUACUUUUUAGUCAAACUCAUUUCGUAUACAGUACAUAUAUACUGAUCGCAAUAAUAAAAUCUAUUUACAUGUUGUUUUUCACUGUCUUUUUCUUAUCAAAUUGUUUAUGUGAAUGUUUGUUUGCUUUCAAACUGUCUAAUGUUUGGUCUAUUUUUGCAUGAUACAUUUAGGUUUCAAACAAAUUAAUCCAUCAAAAAUAGAGCCAGAUAUAUUUAUAACACAGGUAAAAACAGUCUCACCUGGCGUCAAUUACAUAACGGAUAACACCUGUAUUGUAUAAAUAUGUAUUUACAUUUGUAAAUCGUGCCCUCCUUGCCAAGGUAGCAUCAUUACUUUCAUGAUUACAAGUUAAUUAUUAUUUAUUCUUUAAGUAAAAGGAGAAACUUGAUAAAUUGUCUAUUUACUUGUAUGCUGUAUUUUUAAGAUCCUUGAGUAAUUAUUUUAAAAGACAAACAUGAAUAUAUUUCUUCGAUAUUGUCAAUUUUUUUAUAGGUUUUUUCGACAUUUUUGGUUUUUAGUUCUAUUUAGAUUUAAUUAAAAUUCCUAAAAAAGAACUUACUUUAGUGAUUAUUGGUAUUCUAAGUUAUUUUAGUCCUAUAUAGGACAAAUUACUAAAUUUGAUUUACGAGAUUUGUAAAUUUGCAUAUAAACCUAAUGGAGUCUUGUAACAUCUUAUCAGUGUAAAUUAUUCAGGUAUUGAUUCAAAUUUUAAUCGCCUAUAAUUCGAGUCUCUCCAAUAGAUGUAAGGGUCUCUAGUCCUUUACACUUAGACUGAGAGCACCUGUCCUGAUUAUUGUAUUUAUUUACACGGGUAGAUAACGACUGUCUCCAGUACCCGACAGAUGUUCCCUGGAUGGAAACACCCUUUUAAAAUUCACUACCCUGAAGUCGUAAUGUGAGAUGUAUAUCUUUAUCUUAUCACCACACCAUUAUAGUAUCGCCUGUUAAGUACUUAUAGCAGUAAGCAAAGCGUGACAAAGUCCAACAUAAAUCCCUGUUUCUUUAGUUUUCAAGUGGCUAGCUUUGUUCCUGCUGUUCCUCUUAUCCUAUAAGUCAGUAUAUAAAAUCAUAGGUGCGAUGCCAUCACACUUUAUAUAUCUAAAAUGGACUUGUUUUGAUUUUAUCAAAAGGCUCUCGUCUGCUUGAUGUUAUUUGCAUUAAGAACAUUUCACAUGUUUUCAGUUUUCCCCUUUGAUAAUGAAGUACCAUCCUGAAGCAUUAAAUUGUUUCCCACAUAAAAAAACAAGCAGGUUUUCAUUCACUUAAAAUAAUUUUCUAAAACACCAAUCCUUCAUAUUGAUGCUGCAUAUGUUUGACUAUUAAUUAAAAUAUCUUCUAAUUUUUGACUACAUAAAUUGGAUUUAUUGGAGAGGAAUUGGUUCAGACAAAGAAUUGCCAUUUUUGAUUUUGAGGAAUUUUACAUAUUUACAGCUCUGACGUUUUGUGAUUUCAAGCACAGCCAAUUGUAUGGUAGUUAAAGCCUUUUAUAUGUAUCUUAUUAUAACUUUUCAAGUCUCUCAUGUGGAAACUUAUAUUUAUAGCAUUCCUAGAGAAGUCCUUAUUAAUUUUGCUUAUUGGUGAUAUCAAUCUUGCAAAGAAUUUUACAAAACUUUUGGCCGGCAUGUUGGUCAUUUUUAAACCAAGGAAGAAAAAUUCAUUUUCAGUUUCAAAACACAAAAUAUCAAACAAUUAUGUUUAAGUGGACAAGCAUGAUGUACAAAAUGUUUUAUCUGUUCAUUAUAUAAUCUGAACAAUAUAGGGAAUUAAAACCAAAUGUCAUUUUUGAAGUAUCCACUUUCAAUAAAAGAUUUUCUUGUCUUUCUAUCAGUUUUUAAUGCAGUCAGCAUGUUUUUGUUUGCUCCUCCUUUCCAUUAAGCAUCUGAAAAGAAUUAUAAUUUACUCUAGAUUUAUUUCCUGUUUUCACCCGAUUACAAAUUUUAAUUUAACAUAACUAAAAAUAUAUAGAUAUAUAAUAAGUGGCACAAUUUCCUUACAACAGUGUAAACUGGCACGUUAAAAGAAUUAACUGAACUGAUUAAAUCAAACUGCGAUUUUUAAUAAGAUGUAGGUCAAGUUUUAUAUAUAUAUACAUCCUCAGGUAAUAUAAUACGAAGGUUAUAUAUAAACAUGAUGUCAUUAUUGUUUGUAUACAGAAAAGUUGUUUUUGUUUUUUCCCAGGGCAGCAUGUGGUUUUAAGGUGUAAAAAAUAAUCAUGAUUCUGUCUCCUAGGUAAUUGUCAUAAAUCUUAAUCAUUGUAAUCACAAAUUACAUUAUCUACAUGUACAGUUUUUAAGUCGUGACAGGUUUUCUGAACUUAUUCUCAUGGAUAUAGGGCAUAGUCAGACAAACAUGAAUGUCAAGUUGGAAACCUCAAGUCUGUAUCAUUAAUUGCUAAUUCAUAGGUUAGGUCAUGUAAUGGGUGGGUUCUUGUUAGUUACUACAUGUAUUUGCUUUUAUUCUUAUCCAAGGCUAAUUGAUAUAUCAAUUAAACUCAGGAUUUAUAUCUGACUAUACAAAUCCUUGAUUAAAUCAAUAACAACACCAAUUAAAUGAAUUUCAAAGUUAAAGGCCAGAAAAUUUGUUAACCCAUUCUGUUUUCAAAUGUUGGAUUAUGUUUAAAAGGAUAUGUCUUGUAUAAUGUCAAUUAGACACCAACAAUGCAAUAAAACAAAACAAAAACAAUUUUACUUUAACCAGAAAGUAUCAGAAAGCCAUUUAGUUCAGACCAGGUAACUUCAUUAUUAAUUAACGCACACAUGAAGCAUCACCGAUCAUUACAAAUAAUACUACAAUUAUAUGCGCUGGUUCUGGCUGGGUACCAGAAAACAUGAGACAUACAUGUAUCUGUGGUCAGAUCUUUGAUUAUGAUAAAUGUGAAUCACCAUUAUUUUUUAUGUGUCAGUGUGAAACCUGAAGAUUGAUAACCAUCUUUGUUGUAACAAUUUUUUGUGGUUGACUUUCUGCAGGGGUAUAAAGAUUUGAUGUUAUUUGUGAAUAGAUUUGACAAGACCUAGUGAAAGUUUGAAGUAACUGCCCCAAAAAAUAAAGAACAAAAUAUUCUUGUCACUGUCUGACAAUGACCUAGCUAGUAAUUUAGAUUUCAAUCUUAAAAAUUUGAUAAAUCACUUAAAUAUUUUUAAAUAAACAUUUAGCAGGGUCAGUCACAUUGAUUGACAAAAAUUGAUGUUGUGGUUUUGGGCUGGGUUUUAUUAAGGUAUCAUUUUUUUUGUAACCAUUGCUUGAUAAUGAGACCAACUAAAUUUGGCAUGCAUUAACAAAAAGGGAAAUAUUGAAACAUUAAAUAAAAUCAACAUUUAACCAACACAUUAAUUAUGAUUUGUUCUCAGUGUUUCUACAUCAGCAAUAAUAUCCUUUAGCAUUGCAAGAAAUUACUUGGUAUUGAGGUAUGUAGAGCAUAUUGCUUGCAUUUUAAAAACUUCUACAAUGAGCCUAAUUUCUUAAUUUUUAUGUGAAUUUAAAAUAAAAUAUCAAAAUUAAUGUGUCCAACCUCAGAUUCAAACCCCUAAAAAAAAUGAGCGCUUUGAAUUUAGCUUCUAAUUCCCAGAACCCUUUUGGUUCUGCUAGGACCUCUAAUAUAUAAGUAAUUUUGAUUUUAAAGAAAUCUUGCAUAUGUAUUGGAAAAACAUUGAUUCUGACUUGUGAACAAUCCUUGAAUCUUAAAAAAGUGUGUUUUUGUAAAGAUUGCUAUAUAUAGUGUUUGCAUGCAGAAAGCAAUGGAUAAAUAGAUAUAAUCUAAUCACAUAUAUCCUAUUAGAUAUCUAUCAGGUGUGGGUAGGAAAUUGUUGGAAAUAAGAGAGGUGUAAAUACCCAGAAAUAGGAAUCUUGACUUACAUCUUAAAGUACAGGUAAUUAGAUAUAUAAAAAAGUAAAUACACAGAAAAAUUAAAUCCACUAAGAACAUCCUGCAAAAUUUUUGUGUAAGCAGGAAAUUGAAAGAAUACAGAAAGGUAUAAAUACUUGACGUGAUAAUGUUAAACAAACAUGCAAGUAGAGUUAGUGUAUAUUAAAACUCAAUACACAAUAAAACACUUGAAAACAUCCUCCCGACAGACUUAUGUCUAAGCAGGAAGUCAUGGGUACUGAUGUUUGUUAGGAUACUGGGAGAUAUGGAGACAUGAACCCCUUAUAAACAUUGUAGAAUGCUUAGCAGGAAGUCAUGAGAAUUCAGGGUACUGAAACUACUGAUGUUUGUUGGAAGCUUCUGUAUAAUACUGGCAGAUAUGGAGACAAGUACCCUUUAUAAACAUCCUGGAAGGCUUAGCAGGAAGUCACCUUCACAUUCUUAGACCCGAGACUGGUACAGAAGGAGAAAAACCAAACAUGUUUUCAGUUAUGGGUAUCAACAAGGAUCUGAUUUCAUUUUAAAACAGAAAGGAAUUUUCUCCCAAAACAUGGCUUUGGAUAUUUGUUAAAAACAAUAAAAUAUUUAUUCAGGGUUUAUAGAAUCAAGAGUUUCAAAACUGAAUACGGUAAACAGAUGAUAGUGUAUUAUGUAACCCUGUCCAAAAUUUGGAAAGAUGUUAUGUCCUGAUAUUAUAUGGAAAUAUUUGAGUUAAUCGUGCAAUUUGAUUGGUUGCCUUGACAGGGUACAUGAGCCCUUGAAAAAAAAAUGAAGAUCAGAAUUGUAUUAUAUAAUGUUGAAAUUAAGACACUCCAGUAUAAUAUAGUUGUUGUUUUCGGGCUUCACAUGAGAUUUGGGCUCACAUUUCCUGUGAAGAUCCCAUUACAAUGUAUUUUGAGAAAUUAAAAACAAAAAACAGGGUCUUUGAUAAUGUUACAUAAAAUGAAACAUUUGUGGAACUUGGGUAAAUAUUUUGAACUUGUGUGAAGUCAAGGUCCUUAACAACCCCUACAGGAGAAGGCAAAGAUUAAGAGCUAUUAAGGAAAACUACAUGGUCCAAAAUAAAGAAAAGUAUUAUUAAAAAUUAUCGUAGAAAUUUAUAUGAAAGUUGACAGGGACUUGUAAUAAGUAGCAGUAUAUAUCCUAUGUAAAUAUAAUUACAGGGGUUAUGACCAGUACAAACUGACCAUUAGUAAUCCUCAGGUCUGAUCCAUUUAAUCCUGACACCUAACACUCCUCAACAUAUGUCUUGAUAAAUAUCUAGGUAACAAUUCUUUAUCCAACAACUUAUUUCAAACAAUAAUCUAAACAAACGGUUAGAAAGAAAAACAUUGAUACAAAUAUUAGAGUCACUUGUUUCCCUGAAAGGUGUGUUAUCGUUAAUAAACUUUGAUAAAGCGUUGAAAAUUUAUGAGGCAGUAUGUACUUUACUUAAUUUGGAAUUUAAUGGUUUUAAUUGUUAUUGAAAGGAUUAUUUAGAAAUUUUUAAAUGUCACGAAGAAUUACCUUUUGAUAGCCUAAAAUAUACAGUUAGGCAGAUGGGGCAGGCCGUAUGUUUGGGUAAAGGUGUUAGAUGGGUACCAGUACUGCCAUCUGUUGUGGCCUCACCUGACGGAUACUUUACUAAUGACAAAUCCUUGUUUAAUGUCAACUUAUAGUCAAGUGAAAUGUUAAUGGUACCAGGUUACAACCAUUGUGACGAAUCAAACUCAAUUUUUUUAUCAAUAUAUUAUUUUUUAAUUUAGCACUCAAAUUGAUUGUUAGCAGUUUAAAUGUUAGUUUUAAGUCAAAAGGAUGGGUUUUUAAAUUGCCAAAAAUGAUUGAUUAAUAGCUUAUAUCAAUGCAUUUUGUUACAGUGCAGGUUGUGUAUUGAUUUUUUAAAUCAGAUUAAAAAACUUCAUCUUGUGUCUCGAAACUGAUUACAACUACAAAUGCCAAGGUUUUGUAUACAUACGUAAAUCUACUGUUGUUCAGAAAUUAGAAAUAGCUGUUAUGUUUUUGAUUAAUUAUUUUGUUAUGUCAAACCAAGGUUUCUUCUAGUUGUUUCUGGUGACAUGUAAACAGAUCAAAAAGUUUUUGACAAAUUACAGAACAGAUAAUUAUGCUAGUAACUUAUAUAAUGCCAUAGUUUUUCAGGUACUUAAUUUUAAAUUGUUAAUUAGAUUUCAGUUGCAUGCAAAUUCACUGCCAGAUGUUUCAGUGAAAAAUAAGGGGCAAUGGAGGUUUUUGUUGCUGUAGUGGGACAUUACGUCCCAAAAUUGUUAAAUCCACCACUAAGGAUUACUCAACAGAUAUGUUGUACAGGCUUGUCACCUGUCUUGUGUGUUUAGUUUUUUAAAAGGGAAAGGAAUUGGGAAUUCACCAACUUUAUUUGCCUAACUAAAACUUUCACAUAUUUUAUUUUUUUUAAUUUGUACAAAAUUAACAUAACAAUGUUAUGUACUGAUAGAUGUGUCUUAAAAAAACAUCAGUUUUAUACAGAAAUUCUCAAGAUUAAUACAACGUCUAUUUAUAUGUACAUAAAAAUAUACUUCACAAUUGUACCGAAUUAGCAAAAAAAUAAAUUUAAGGGAAGUAACUCUUUUAAUUUGUCACAUUCAACCUUUGAACUAAAUAUGAUCUGUGUAUGACCUUGACUGAAAUAAAAGCUAUAAAAGUUACUAUUAAACUGCAAAAUAACAAAUUCAUAAACAUGUCGUAAAUUUCCAAAUGAGAAUUUCUAUUGAAUUAUCCUUGAGAGAAAAUAUAGAUAAUAUCAGUAAUAAUUAGACAGAAAAAGUUUUACGUUUAUGUUUAUUUACCAAAGAUAGGGGGCUGUGAAUAAAGAUUGGUGCAACACAUUUUCUAUUUCCUGUACCGACUUUGAGAAAGUUUUCAUUAAUUUUGCAGCUUUGUGUAUUUCUAUAAAGCCAGAGGGGGGUUACUAUUGAAGUGCUUCAUUUGUGAUAAUACCCACAGUCUGUCAGAAGUGAAAAGAUUAACUGAGUACACAGACACAUCUGUCGCAUUCUCACAAAAUCAAAAGAUUUUGUCAAAUCCUUAUUCCACUUUAAAUCUCCAGUUUUGUUUGUUUAUCUUUUAACAGAGGUAAUUUGUUCUGUAUCUAGGCUGAUUGUGUAUUAGAAAACUGUCAAUUUGGCAAAAAUCAAUAAUAACAGCAUUCUUAGUUUGAAAUGAGAAAUGCAUGUUUGAAAUGUUGUAUUUCCUUGAUUAUUAGUUGUAGAAGUCUGGUAGUUGUAGAGUUGACUUGAGGGUCAGAACUGGUCAGAGAAAAUGACCUGGUUGGUUGUGGUCAGUCAUCCCAGGUCAUUGUUUAGAGGCUACAUGUUUUCUGUAGACCAGAACAUAUUAUACAUGAUAAUUCAUAAUUAAUAGGUCCUCUUUGAUGUUUAUAUUGGUUGUUUUGAUAUAUGGGAUAUUUUUCUUUAAAUCUAUUUGAAUAUGAUUCCGAUAUAAUUACUUAAAUAACAUAAAUAAGCUCGCUCAAUAAAAGCACCAUAAAAUGAAAAUUACAAAGAAUAAAUAAAUGUGUUUUUACUUAUUUUUUUACAUAAAUGUAGGUUAUGUGGAUUUAUAUAUUCCCUUGACCUUGAUGUCCUUGUAAUUGUUACCUUUCAGAUUUUGGAAAUGAUGUUUUGAGGUUUUUGACAUUUUGAUAUCUAUGAAAUUCGUCUAAAGUUUUAAAAAAAUCUGGUCAUAAGAAGGAAAAUAAAAAUUGUGAAAAACAUAUCAUUGUGCCAAAUGAAAGUAUUUGGAUUUCCACCAUAAUUAGAUUUUUUCUGGCAAAAAAAAAUAUUUUUCUCCUGUUCAUUUCUAUAAACAUAUAUAACCUCAUUCAGGUUGAAAUUGAGGUCAAGGAUUCCAUUUCAAUUGUAAUAGGCAUUGCAGGAAAAACUCAUAAUUGCUGAAAGCACAUUGCAUCUAUAGGUGUGAUUUGAAGAGAAACUCAGAUUUAUUAUUCAAACCUGGUACCUAUGCAGAAAGACAUAUAUGAUGCUACAUAUUUUUUUUAAAUCAAAACAUUAUAAAUGACAAUAAACCAAUGAAUUGUUUGUUAAAGCUUGCUAAAAAUUCACCUAAACAUGUUCAAGUCUAAAUGAUUGUGUUGACAUUUUCUAGACACAUGGAAAUGUAAAUAGUCUUAUCCUAAAACUAGAACGAGUAUAAAGGAUCUGUCACAUUCAGUGAGAAAAAAACCAGUUCAUUAGAUUUAUUCUCUAUCAGAUAAAUAAGUGAUGCAAUGCCAGUAAAAAUUCUCUUUCCUUUGAAUUAAUGGCAAGUUUGUCAGUAUCCUGACAGAUAAGAAACAUUUGAUUUGGCUUUUUGAAGAAUGUUUAUGGAUAAAAAACAGGAUUUAAUGGAUUUUACUUUGAUACCUGAUCUAUUAAAAUGUUGUUCUUUGGCCAGAAAGGUUUAAUAUUUUGACUAGAAUUAGUUAGGCCUUUUUGGCUCUUUCUUGUAAUGUUUUGAAACCUUACUUUGUUUUGGACAGUUUAAUGCAUUCUUUACAUAUCUAAAUUAAUUUAUUGAUUUUUUUGUGUGCAAAAAUGACUUGUUUUAUUCUUUGGAAACAUUCAGCUUAAAGCAAAAGUAUAGUGCAUGACAACUUUUAGAUUCUAUCAUCACAUUCAUUUCCGGAAUCAAAACAUCAAAGACGUUCAUAUUAAGGACAAUAUGGACGUGAAAUGAUUAAUUAUUAUAAAAUAAUGGUAAAUUGUUAUUAAAUUUUCUGUUAAGAUGUAUGGAUUUUUUAUUUUGACUAAUAGUAAUGUAUUCUGUUUGAAGUUAAGGAUUUUGGCUAAUCAUCUUAAUGUCAACUGAAUUAAUUAAUGAAUGUAUUUGGUAGAUUGUCACUUUGGAUCCAAUCUAUAUCAUAAAACAACACAGAACAGCAGAUUGAAGUUUGCAGAAAGAGGUUGAAGAGGAUGCCAUGGGGGAGUCAAAAGACUAUCUGUCAAAGAUAAAAAGGCAAAACUUCCAGAAAUAAUAAAUAUCCACACAACUAAUUAAGACCUACAAAUAUCCACGCAGCUACAAAUAUCCACACAGCUUAUUGAAUGUAAAAAGUUCCUGCUCCACUAUCUGCACCCAUCUUGCUACAAGUAAAAAUUUAUUGAGUGAAGAUUUAUUAUCCAGAAAUAGGGUUGUUGCAACAACUAAUAAAAGCUACAUAUUUAGCAUAUAUUUGUCAUUAACAUGUUUUUUUUAAUGAGCAGUGAAAGAUACUGUUGCAGAAUUAUAAUUCGACAUAUGAAAUUGUAUCUUUUGUAUGUAAAUCUGAUAAACAGAAGUAUGAUAUUACAUACCUUUUUGUUUUGAACAUUUAGAAUAAACACUAAAGAAAAAAGUGUUACUGUGCAAUUGCAUUUCGAGUGGGACAUUGGAAAUCAGAAAUGCAAAUGGAGUUACAUGUAUGUAUUAUUUUUUUUGUAAAUUGCAGAAAAAUAUAUUGACUACCAUGAUCAUAUGGACAAGUGUUUAAAUCUGUUCAGUGAUAAAAAAAAAAUCAUUCUAUGAAAUAUUAUAUUGAGGUCUCCCACCUAUGGUAGAAAUGACAACAGGUCAUUUGGUCUGUGAACUUUUCUCUCUUGUUUACCUGAUUUAGCACAUAGUUUCUUGAAUGUUUGUCAUGGGGCAGUACAAUAUUAAAAUGUGGACUAUUUUUAUGACCAGUGACUGAAGACCAUUUAGUGCAAUCUGUAUUCACAUCAACCUAAUUGAGUAUAAUCCCUUUAAAUAGAAAAUUUAGUUUGACUUCUGAAUGAACCCAACACCUUAUAAUUGAAUCCAAUUCUAUUACUUAUAUUCAUUUAGAAGAAGAAAUGAAAUUGUCUGUAGUAAGCAGAAUGGAAAAAAUCUAUUCCUGAAAGCAUGUUAUACGAAAAAUGUUAUUUGCUUACUACUCAUAAGAAAAGUGGAAUAUCUGAGUAUUUUUUCUAUGUCUCAAUCUCGCUAUGAAAUGAAAAACUUGAUUUAAACACUAUUUGGUCAAUUCUGAUUUCUUUUUCAUUUAAUCAGUAGAAUACUUUUCUUUUUAUUGGAUGUUUUAUGCAUUUACAAGGAAUGUUUGUUUGAGUUUUGCUAUUUUAAAAGUAAAAGACAUUUUUCAUCUUUUAAGGAUUACUAAGUAUGCAAUUCAAUGGAAACCUACUGCAUAACCUGCUUUUCUGAUGCACUUUGAUUCUUAAAAGUGAAAUUUUAAAAGAUUUAAUUUAUCAAGUGUUUUAAGAAACAUACUUGUAUAUGAAGGUUCAAAAUGCUUCAAAAGAUGAAAGAUAAAAGAAGUUUAUAUUGAUGAUAAGAUACUCUGCAAAAAUCAUUUCCAAUUUAUGAAAAAUGAAUAAUUGUGCACCUGCAGACACUGUAUAUAAAGUAUUAAAUUCUUGUGGCUUAUAUUAAUGGUAAUAUGAACGUAUUAAAAAUAUUGGAUAAUUUUUCUACCAGAAAUAGAUUGGUUAUUAUAUCCUGAAAAACUACCAGAAAUUGAUAUUUUUGUUUCUUUCAAUUGGUUUAUUUGCUAUGAUAGAUAAAAAUCCAAAAUCCAUCAAUUAUAUGUCUCGUUUGCAGUUUUUACCUUCUGGUAAAAAUUUUAUGAAUAAUCAGAUGGAUUGGAAAAAAUCACGAAUUUAGGUGGUUAGUAUGAAUUAGUAAUACUGGCCUUUCAUUAACUAUUGAUGAAAAUUAUGUGUAUUGAAUUGCUGACGGGCAACUCAAUACACAGAGAUGACUGUCAUUUCUGACGGUCACACUCGGUUAAUGCUAUAACCGAUCGGCAGUGAGUAACAACCAUUUGUCAUAAAAUUGAAGCUCAUCAUGCAAAUUCUGCUUCAUCUAAAAAGGAAACUGAAGUUUUGCAGGUCUUCGCUUCAUCAAACAUUUGUCAUUCAUUAAACCAAGAUUAAAAGUUGUCUUUGAUCUGACAAUCUUAAUUAUCAUCUUUAACAGUGUUAUAGAAGGUGUCCAAUAUCCUUAAAAGUAUUAGAAUAAAUACUUUUAUGAAGAACAAUAUUUAUAGUCCUGUUAGAAGAAUUCAUUAAAUUAAUUUUCCUUUUGAAAAUGUUGCAGUUUUAUAGAUUGUAAUUAAGAUUUUAAACAAAGCAUAUUUUUUUGUAAUUAAGGCUUGUAUGUCAUUUUAAAAGUCUAAAUUGUCCCUUUUUAAUCUUUAAUCUACCAUGCAUUGGUACUAAGGUAAAUGAAGUUUUCUGUGACAUUGGACUUUAAGAGCUACCUGCUCUGGAUGUGAUCCUGUAUUUAAUGAGGCUUCUGAUAAACCAGGCCCGGAACCAUACAUUGUUCAUUCUUUAAUGGACAUUUAUGAAUAGUGCAUUCAUGAGAAAGGAACAAUCAUUCUUAGAAAUUUUUAAAAAGUGGAAAAUUAUGGAAAAUCAAUGGUUUGGAAAACUAUUUAUGUAAAGAUAACCAUAAUGUCCACACUUACUUCAAAACUAAUAUAUAUCAAUAUAUUCAGUACACCUCAUAGCUUUUUGCAAAUAUGUGAACUUAACAAUAUCAUAAUAGACGUUUACUUUUCUACAUUGGCUAGAGGUAUAGGGGAGGGUGGAGAUCUCAUAAACAUGUUUAACCACGCCAAUUUUGCACCUGUCCCACGUCAGGAGCCUCUGGCCUUUGAUAGUCUUGUAUGAUUUUUAAUUUUAGUUUCUUGUGUAUAAUUCAGUUUAGUAUGACGUCCUAUACUGUACCAGUUACAUAUUUUUUAAGGGCCAGUUGAAGACACAUACGGGUGCGGGAAUUCUCGCUACAUUGAAGACCAUUGGUGGCCUUCAUGUUGUCUGCUCUAUGUCGGUCGUGUCGCUUUGACACAUUCACCAUUUCCUUUCUCAAUUUUAUGUUAAUCAGUGGCGGAUCAAGAACUUUGCCUAUGGGGGGAGGGGGGACCACAACUGUCAUGCUUCAGUGAUUUCCUAUUCCCAAAUAGUUCACACAAAAGGGGGGCUGGGUCAUAAUUAAGAAAAUUAAGUUUUUGAUUUUUUGAAUUCAAUCCUAUUCUAUCUGCUUUGCUUGAAAUUUUUCAGUGCAUUGGGGGGACAUUUGUACUGAUUAUUUUCUAGGUGAAAUGGCUUAAAAUGCAAAUGAAACAUUUGAUUGUAAAGUGGUUAAAAUAGCAAUAUAGACCACCUAAUGUCUGAAUACAUUGAGGUCAGAUUAUUUAUACUUUCAGGUACAUGUUAAAUGCUUUGUAAUAUUAUUCAAUCUUUUUACACCCAUGGAUAAUAAAAGUCUGGUGAUUAGCCCAUUAAACUGACUUUCUAUUGCCUAUAGAUUAAGGAUGCACAAAGAUUUAUAAUCUGAUAAAAGUGCUACUGUAACAUAUUCUUGCCAACAAACAAGACUUACUUCCAUAGAAAUUCAAUUAUUUCAAAAAAGCGGUAGCUUCAUAAUUUAAUUUCCAAUGCACAAAAAAUUGAAAUUAUCAUGUUCAUCUAUUCUAUUUAGUAAUGUCAGAUACGGUGAAAUGGAUCAUACUGUAAACCAAUUUUGUUUUCUCGUUAGAAGGUGAAUUGUUUAUUCGACAAUUUGAAUCAGAAUUUUCUAUGUUGAAUUUUGGUUUAUAUGUCCCAAUUUGAGGAGCCUGACAUUAGAUUUGAGAAGAGUAAGUGGAAGUUAUUCCAUCAUGGUGGAAAAAAAGGAUUGCAUCAGUUCUAUGAUUGUAUAUGACCUAUAUUAGCUAGGUGAUAUUUAUAGUCAAUAUUUCACCUGUUACUUUGCUAUAAGCAUCUAUAAAAUAUAGAUAUUAAUCCUGUCUUACAUGCUUACUUUUGUUAUAUGAGAUAAUUAUAUUAAUAUAGUAUAAUCCACCCUCAAUUAUGAUUAUAUUACAGAAAAGACUUAGUUCUUAAAAAUGUAAACAUAGAGUUAAACAGUAUAAAUGCUUUAGAUCCAACCUAUUAGAACUUGUGUAGAUCUAUAUAUAUUAACGCUUGCAAUGUUAAACCUAAAUUGUCUUCCUCAGGUCACAAUGCUAUGGACAGUUCACCAAUCAAAUUUAAUUACUACGUAUUAGAACAAUAAGUAUAACUUUUGUUUUAUAUAUAAAGUCUAGGAUAUAUUUUUUAAUACCAAUUUGGUUAUCCUGCUCCAACCUUUUUCCAUUAAACGUAAGAAGUCAUAUUGACUCACUAGUUUAUUUUUUGUUGCUAUCUCAUUUGACCUUAACCUCACAUCCACAUUUAUGAAACCUUUUUAGCUCACCUGGCCCGAAGGGCCAAGUGAGCUUUUCUCAUCACUUGGCGUCCGGCGUCCGUCGUCGUUAACUUUUACAAAAAUCUUCUCCUCUGAAACUACUGGGCCAAAUCAAACCAAACUUGGCCACAAUCAUCAUUGAGUUAUCUAGUUUAAAAAAUGUGUGGCGUGACCCGGUCAACCAACCAAGAUGGCCGCCACGGCUAAAAAUAGAACAUAGGGGUAAAAUGCAGUUUUUGGCUUAUAACUCAAAAACCAAAGCAUUUAGAGCAAAUCUGACAAAGGGUAAAAAUGUUUAUCAGGUCAAGAUCUAUCUGCCCAGAAAUUUUCAGAUGAAUCGGUCAAUCGGUUGUUGGGUUGCUGCCCCUGAAUUGGUAAUUUUGAAGAAAUUUUGCUGUUUUUGGUUAUUAUCUUGAAUAUUAUUAUAGAUAGAGAUAAACUGUAAACAGCAAUAAUGUUCAGCAAAGUAAGAUCUACAAAUAAGUCAACAUGACCAAAAUGGUCAGUUGACCCGUUUAGGAGUUAUUGCCCUUUAUAGUCAAUUUUUAACCAUUUUUCGUAAAUUAAAGUAAUCUUUUACAAAAAUCUUCUCCUCUGAAACUACUUGGCCAAAUUAAUCCAAACUUGGCCACAAUCAUCUUUGGGGUAUCUAGUUUAAAAAUGUUGUGGCUGACCUGGUCAACCAACCAGAUGGCCGCACCGCUAAAAUAGAACAUAGGGGUAAAAUGCAGUUUUUGGCUUAUAACUCAAAAACCAAAGCAUUUUGAGGAAAUCUGACAGGGGAUAAAAAUGUUUAUCAGGUCAAGAACUAUCUGCCCUUAAAUUUUCAGAUGAAUCGGUCAAUCGGUUGUUGGGUUGCUGCCCCUGAAUUGGUAAUUUUGAAGAAAUUUUGCUGUUUUUGGUUAUUAUCUUGAAUAUUAUUAUAGUUAGAGAUAAAACUGUAAACAGCAAUAAUGUUCAGCAAAGUAAGAUCUACAAAUAAGUCAACAUGACUAAUGGUCAAUUGACCUUAAGGAGUUAUUGCCCUUUAUAGUCAAUUUUUAACAAUUUUCAUUAAUUGGUAAAUUAUGUAAAUUUUUACCAAAUAUAGUUCUCUGUUACUAAUGGGCAAAGUUCAUGAUAGAUAUAAUUGUAAGAAGCAAAAUCGUUCAGUAAAGUAAGAACUUCAAACACAUCACCAUCACAAAAUACAAUUUGUCAUGAAUCCAUUUGUGUCCUUUGUUUAAUAUGCACAUAGACCAAGGUGAGCGACACAGGGUCUUUAGAGCCUCUAGUUUAAUGUAAAAAUAAUACGUUUUUGGUCCUCAUUUUCUCUUCAGUGUGAAAAAUGAAGUUAAUUGAAAAUGUGGAAAUAUUUGAAAAUCUAAGGAUAUUUUUGAUAAGGCCUAAAAUGGCUGUGCUUAUUUUUUUCUUAAGUUGUAUAUGACAAUACCACCUGUGACAGUCUGUUUAUUAUCCCUGGUGUCUUACAUCAUAUGUCUUGUAACAGCAGCUGUUUAACCUGUCAAAUAAUAAAUGUAAUUAUUUAAAUUCUCCUUUGGGCUUCUGUAUAGAAAAGGUCCAUCCAUGCAUACAUUAUCCUGUAACUCUUUUGCAGUUAAAUCAAAAUAUACAUUGUAUAUAAGGUCCUAAUUUUAUACUUAAAUUUGAAAAAUAACACUAUUUUCUGAAUAAAUGUUUUGAAGUAACAGAUUUCCUGGUACAGAUGUUUCAGCCAGUAAAAAAAAAAGGUUCAAUUUGGUUAUUUCAUGACAAAACUAUUUUUUCUUUUAAAUGUUAACUGCAAAGUAGGACCUCAUUAAUUCCUUGACAGAUGAAAGUCAGGAGCUUAUCAUUGCAAAUAAGUAAUGGCAAGCAAGUCGUGACUACAUCAAAAAGUUGAAAACAAACAUUUGUUACACAACAUAUUUUUAUAUUUUACAGAUAGCAGUUAGUAAGAAAUUGAGAGCACCUUAGUUCACCAACACAGACAUACGGUCAAGGUCAUGAUUUUCAGGAACCCAGAUUUACAUCAAGCAUGCAGUGAAAAUCUAUUAUUAGUGGUUUAUUGAGAUAAUAGAAAUCUGCAAGACUAAGGUAAUUUCUAUAUAUCUGGCUGUAUAUAAUAAAUUAGUCAUUUUCUGCCCAGGAAUUCCAACAUAACAUUGUUGUAACUUAUAGUCUCAUAUAUCUUUGGUCUGGCUGAUCUGGCACACGACUAAGGGUUUUAGAUUUCACCAUCUUAACAAACUUGUAAUAUUUCACAAAACUUGGAAAGAUAAUCCAAUUCUUACAACCUUUGUUCUUUCUUGUGUAUUACAUGAUAUAUUGAUAAAAUAAUGAAAAAUUAAGAUACAUAAGCUAGAAAACCAUUCUUCGUAUGAAAUUUUAAUAAUUUUGACAUUGUUUCAUGUACUGUAUCUAAAGAGAUAAGAAAUAUUCCUUUUACUGCCGUUAUUUAGAUAAAUGGGGUGGUUUCAGUACCAGUUAAAAGUGACUUUAUACAAUUAAUGUUAUAAAGAAAACAUAAAUAUCAAUUUAUAAUGAGAUACCUUAGCUUUAAUGAGGAUAUGAACAUUUCUUUUUAACAUUAUUUGUGUAAUUAUUGGCACUUCAAUUGUUAGAGAGAUAAUUUUAUUUGAAUUAUAAAUUUAUCUUUGUGUCAGUUUGAUUCAUAUAACUCUUGUUUGUUUGAGUUUUGCCAAAAGCUUGAGCUGCUAGAUUUUGAUUUUGCAAAAGUAUGUUUCAGAUAUUUUUUGACAUAAAGUGGUACUUCUACUUCUUACACACUAAAGAAGCCAUCAACAUUUCUUCUAGUUGUAGGGAUAUUUCAAUUAUUGAGGGUUUUGCAAAUAUAGCUUACACUCGAGAGCUUACACAACUUGGAAAAAAUUCCAUUGUAAACUGGAAAUCAAAAUUAUAUUGUAUUCUGGUAAAUAGGAAAAAAGGUAAUAAUCAUAUUACAUCUUGGUGAAAACAUGUGUAUUAUUUAAAGAGGUAUAAGUGGACAAUUGUCAGUAGUGAAUCAGUUCAGCAGGUAUUGAUAACUUGUAUUAAAAAAAAGGAGAUGUGGUAUGAAUGCUAACUGAGACAACCCAUAGCCAGAAAUUAGUAGUGCUUUUGCUAAGUAAUAUUCAUAAUAUGUAAAUGAGAAUUGUACCACGUGAUUACAGUUUGAACUAGACUGGCUUGAUAUCCUUAAAAUCUUUAAAACACGGAUAUUAUAAGUUGCCCGUCCUUGUUUAUAAUCAUUCUGAUAUUUCCGUUAAGUUGCCAGGCGGUCAAAAUCAAUACAAUGAACGCAAAUUAAGUGAAUUUUUCGUGUUCUCAUGAGUUUAUUCUUCUUAAAAUAUUGGUAUUUUAACUUUACGUGGGAACCUAGAGUUCAAUGACUACACAUACAAGGUUUGGACUUGCUUAUUCUUUGGACAUCCAAGUUUCACCCCGGCAACUUGUUUUUCUUAUGACCUUGUUAGCCAAUUUUCAACACGAAGUUUGCAAAUUUGACGUUUCAGCCAUUUUAGCCUGUAUUUUAUACUGCAAUGUUAAAAGCCUCUCGCUUCGAUUUUCAAAAUAGCUCAGCGACAGUCAUAAUGUUUCGUUUAAAUGGUGUAUAUUGUUGUGUAUAUUUAUUUUCUGUCCCGGCAACCUGUCUAUCACUUAAAUUAAAGUUAAAAUAGACAUUUUUUCAAAAAUCCCUAUCAUUUCAAUAUAAUUUCCGUGACCCGUAUCUGAUUUUGUUAGUAUAAUAUUCAAUGAGCAAAGUGGCGUUGAUUUCUGGAUAUGCUUCCACAAGUUCAAAUGACAUGAAUGAAUGGUCCUUGUAAAAUAGCUGACUACUGGUAGUUAAAUUUCACAUGACAGCUUCACUAGAGAUUUAUAUACAUUGCAAUUUUGUUUACCAUUUUUCCAGCUUCAACCACAGAAUUAGGCCAUUACCCUGAGCACAUUUUCCUUAAUAAGAUUAAGGGAUUGCCUUGACAUCAUUAUCUUAAUUUUACUUAUGAUUUAUUUUAAUUGUUUCCUUCUUUUCACUAGACUUAUACUUUAUCUCAGUUUACCUCAGAUGUGAAAGGGUGAUUUUGUGGAAAUAUUUUAUUAGCAAUUAUUGUAGUAUAUAAGAACAGAUAUCAGCUAUUACGUCUUUAAUAAUUAGGAAAGUUGGGUGAUUUGUACCACCAUCUGGGAGCUGUUUUUACCACAAUCUGACUGCGAGGUUGUCCAAUAGUCUGUGGAGACUGCAAUGAUUCUCAUUCAGGAGAUAAUUACUAAAUAUCUUCCUUACACAAUCAUCUAACAAUACUCAUUUGUGUUGUAGUCUGCCUGGAAGAACAUUUUUAAAUUCUUAUCUUUCAGUUAAAAGGAUGUUAAAGUAGAGAAUAAAAGUGAUUUUAAGACCAACAAAUCAUUCUAUAUCAUAACUGUCUAUGCCUUCAACAAUGAGCAACCCUAUACAUUUGUGCUUUAUAUUGAAUAUGCUAUAUAAGGAGCCAGCUUGCUAAAUACAAAUCUAUUCUUGCAAGAAAACUAAAGCCUUGUACAUGGGGAAGUCACAUUAAUUUAUGUUGCUUUUAAAGGGCAAGCAUGUCUUGCUGAACUUGUAGCACUCAUCAGGUUACUCAUGUGACAAAUGUUGUAUGAUCUGGUGUGAAAUGCAAGAAUUGCAUGGAAGCUUUCAAUAAAAAUCAACAAAAAAGGUUUAAGUUGGAACCUCUAGGUAAUGCAACAUUGGGUAUAGCUCACUAGUAUUUAAAGGUUAUAUCAUCUACAGUCAGUAUGGCAUGCAUCAAAUAAUUCUUCACCUUCUUACAUUUUAAUCUGAAUCAUAAAUACAAUUUAAUAGACAAAUUAAUUGAGCAAGAUGAUACAUUAACAUUUAUAAAUAGAUAGCUAAUUGAUUGAGUCUGCUAAAUUUUGAGGUCAUGUGUACUUAACAUUGUAACCUUGACAUUAUACCUUUGCCAGAUUUUACAGUAGCCUUUUAUACCAGGUGUGGCAAUAAAAAAAAUCAAUCUGUAAGCAUUUUAGGGAAAGUUUUCUGUUCUUCUUUGAUAACAGAUUUCUUGGUGGUAUACUUGGCAAAGAAAUUACUUGUAGAUUAGAGAAGAAAUCAGUGUAAUUUUGACGGAUCAUUGGCAUCUCUAUCAGUUAGUACAAAAUAUAUUAAUAAUUGUGCUAUAUUCAUAAAAAUGUUAACUAUUGGCAUAUUUCCUGAUAAAUUAUCUAUUUUUUGUCUUCCAGGGUGAAGAGUUUUAGUGUCUUGUCAUUGACCUAAUCAAAUAAUCAUUACUUCUGAUAAGUGGCUGUGUUGCAGUAGCAGAAGAGAAUGAAAUGCCAGCAGACGUCAUACCGAAUCCUGAUCAAUCCUUGACAUUCAAAACUUUGAUGUCAUCAUUUGGUGAUCGACAAAACACAAAAUGAUCAACAAAGUAUAUUUGCGUCAAUGUUAUGUAGAAAUGGGGCAA